GAGUCACCUUGUGCUACCUGCAAUACCCAGCAGUACUCUCGGCAUAUACAUGGGACUGGCCUCUUUGACCCAGCUAAACAUACAGAGAACAUUUACAUAGUUCCAAAACAUGAUUGUUAAUGGGUUUGAUACAAGCAUGCUAUGGUAGGACUCAGAGGAUGCAUAUGACACAAGAAGAUUCUUCUGACAAGCAACCAUUUCUUGGUAUGAAAUAAUAGUGCUUCUGGGGAAGAUGAAAUGGAACAGGAACACCAGAUGAGGAAUGGCUAAUGAAAAAGGCUCAUAAAA